CCUGAGAAACCCAAAAGAUCGAAUGGGGAGAUUCAUCGUCAGCGUUACUGGUACGUGUGCGGUUCGCGAUGCCUGGGACUUCGGUUCCGCGGCACGCGUCCGCAUGUUUUUAUUACCUGGUAACGUCGGCGUGCACUUCUCCCCUAGUAGGACGUCGCGACCCGUUGGGUGUCGGUCUACGGCCCGGGUGGGCGCCUGUCUCGUGUGCGCUUCACGGCGUCACUGCGGGGCAGACCCCCGGUUGCCUGGCCGGCUGCCCGGCGGUACUCGCAAGGUAUCCAGCCGCAAAUAUUCGAACCUGCGUCCGGCCCGUCGCAAGCGAGGCCAGUGUUUCCCGAAUGUACGGAUCUAAUGCCGUCAUCGGGCCUGGCCAGCUGUUGGCUGACGGUGUCCUAGGACCGGCUGUAACAAAAUUAUGAUACCGGUCAGCGACGCUACUGCUUUGGGUACUUUCAGGA
rnacentral:rRNA from 1 species